rnacentral:rRNA from 1 species
AUUGAACGCUGGCGGUAUGCUUAACACAUGCAAGUCGAACGGUAGCAGGCCUUCGGGCGCUGACGAGUGGCGGACGGGUGAGUAACGCGUAGGAAUCUGCCUCAUAGUGGGGGACAACGUGGGGAAACUCACGCUAAUACCGCAUACGCCCUACGGGGGAAAGCGGGGGCUCUUCGGACCUCGCGCUAUGGGAUGAGCCUGCGUUAGAUUAGCUAGUUGGUAGGGUAAAGGCCUACCAAGGCGACGAUCUAUAGCUGGUCUGAGAGGACGAUCAGCCACACUGGGGACUGGACACGACCGCC